rnacentral:rRNA from 1 species
UUGACCUCAAAUCAGGUAGACACCCCGGUUCC